CAAUGCUGCAAUAAUUAUUCAAAAACUUCCUCAAAAUAUUGUGAUUGAUUGGCUCCUUAAUAAAUUGUUAAACUGAUCAUCCUCUUAUUGUAAUAAUCUACGAAUAGCGUCUAUUCAAACGCCCAUAGCACUCUUACAAAAGCGAAUUAGCUAUAUACUUGUUUUUAAAGAACAUGUUGUACGAUCCGUAGUAAAUAAAAAUAGAUCAAAUUCAUAAUUUUGACUCUGCAAUAUCUAAAACUAACUGUUAAACCUUAAACCUAGGCAUAACGAAGCAAACUUCGAAAUCUCAUAAACCAAAAUUGUGCACCCUAAGAUAAUUGGAAAAGUGAUUGAAAAAAACCCGAAAGUGAGGGGAUUACAUGAGAAAUUGCAAUUAUCAUUGUAUAUGGAAAGUUUAUCUCUAUGUUUCUCAUAACUUCUAUCAAUUCUUGAGGAUACUCUGCCAAGAAAUAUUAAAUUCAAAAUCUGAUAAUUAGAACUUGAUUGUGGAACCAUUUCAGAAUAAAAUACAAACCAAAAUAUUGCACAGGGUAAAAUCAGGACAAUAAUAGAAAAUAUUGAGGCAGAUAACGAUCUAAAAAUAGGAAUCAGAUAUGGCUCAGAAAUUAGCUUGUGAUGAACAAAAAAGAUUAUUCCAAUUGCUGAAGCAGAGCUCGCAGAAUAUCUUGCAAAGUCUAGAAUUCUAUUUCUGUUUACUAACGCUUUUAAAUUUUUGAAUACUGUCCAAAAAAACACUCUGUUUGCUUCAAUUUUGUCGUUUGAUAAAUACUCAUAUGUCCCUCCUGUAUUAUUUGUUUCAUUCCCAUAAAUUUGCUGUUUUGCAGAUCUUAAAAAAUACCUUUUACUUAAAGAAUUUUUGUUUGGAGAGAACGACUCAAAAUUACAUUCAACUUGGUUUGAAAUACUUCUAACGAUAUUAUCUAUGCAUUUCAUAACAACUGAGACGAAAAGAAUCCAAGUGAUAAAGUUACCCAGAAGAAAAACACGCUUUAAUAAUUUUAUUGAAAAAAAACUAUUUGAACUAAUUUUUGAUUCCAAAAUCCUCCAUGCCAGACCAAUUCCUUCACUGCUAGGCUCAAGCCCAUAAGGUAAAAUUGGAAAUGAAGGGACUGUACCCAAAAUUAUUGAUAUCCCGCAGAAAAAAAUAAACAAAAUCAAAGAUAUUGUAAUUCUCCAAAUUCUUGAAGACUUUACUUCAUAAUCGGGAAAGAGUUUAAAUGCCCCAGGCAAGAUUAUAUGAAAUGACACAGCAGAAAUCACAAAGGCUCCCAUCUCCAAAAUUCCUCCAACAAAGCCCCAGAUAUGUACAUCCCAAUCAAAUUGAAUGCUUUCGCUUUCAAAACUAAUGAAAGAUAGGCCAGCUUCAUUAGGAAAGUUUAUAAAAUAAAGAGUGAAGAAAAGUAAUAAUCCAAAAAAAUGUAUGCAAGAAACAAUACACAAAAUAAAUGAGCCGCACUUAUUCAUGUUCAGAAUGACUAUUGAAAUUGCUGUAAUUAUUAAAAGUAAACAUGUAUUUCCAAAUUUUGAUUCAGGUCCUAACAAAUCAACUCCAUUAUGAUUCAAUAUUAUGCUAUUUGGUUCCAAAAAAAUUUGAGACCCUUCAAAGACAGCAAAUGAAGCAUAAGAAACGCAUAUCACUACCAUUACACUUACAAUUGCUAAGAUUAAUCUUGCUUUAGCAGUUUGCAUUGCUCUCUUUAACCUCUUUUUAAACUCACCGUCUAACGUCAAAAUGUGAUUAUUAUAAUAUCCAUCAGUAUUUUGCUUUGAUUCAACACUCCUAUUCGCAUUACUGCUGCUAUAUAUUGAAUUUACAGUAAGAUGUACAUUUGCCUCUCUAAUUUCAGACUUUGAAUAAUUUGAAUCGCUCCUGAACUGUGAGUACAUAAAUGCCCUCAUUACAGCGUUUGGAUAGUCUGAUGGCAUUCCUAAUCUCAACAGACAGCCUGACAAAUUAAUCAAUCCAACACCAGAAAAAAAUAAAUAAAGUCCAAUUAAGAUUACUGCGCAUACUAAUAUUAAAUUUAUGCCCCCAUUUGUCUGCUUAAUCAGCCCUUCAAAGCUGCUAGAACAAACUCCAGGAGCAGCAAGUAAUGAUGUAAAUGGGAACCAAGAGCAAAGAACUGUGAAAACUCCAAAAAAUAUGAAUUUCGAUGUAUAAAGGGUAUUCAUAAUUUUACUAAAAUAAUAAAAUAUGUUUAGCGCCAUGCAUGCAAAGGGAGACUGGCUGAAAACCUGUAUGUUGAUUAAGAUGAAUAAUCAAGCAAUGCAGCAAACGCUAUUAUUUCAAAAUAAAUUGAAGUUAUUUAUUAAUAAAUCAGAAUUUAAGUCCGGAAUACUGAAAAUAGCUAACAACUUUCUUAAUUUUUUGUAAUGCAAAUAUAAACUCGAAGAAUUAAUAUAUAUUCCGCAAGCAUAUGCAAACUUUAAUUUCAAUGUUUAACGGC
rnacentral:antisense_RNA from 1 species